GUCAUUGGAAGAGCAGGACAUUUGUGCGCCACGCCGGAAAGUUGCUUGGCGACGGGGGCGCAGUAGCUAAUCCGAGGAUACUGAGGUUCCUCUCUCAAAUCUUGUCCUUUGAUUCUGUGAUAGAUGGUUAGGCUUUUGCUUCCAAUAGACGACUGGCUUCCUCCACAACCGAGGGUGCCUUUUGAUUUUGAGAUCCUCCUGCCUCAGCUUCUCAAGGAGACUGGAUUGGGGGAUUACGCGCAUGUACUAUGUUAAGUGUUAAACCUGAAAAUUGCCAGGAGAAAGACUAAAUCCACAGUUCUCUAAUCAAAGCAAGCUUUAUAUUAGAGAUGCCCGGGGGACUGGACAUCUGGCUCUUUUACCCUAAGUUGGGAUUUUAGAGAACAGCCCCUUAUUGUCCUUUUGAGGUCCCUUUUAUGAAAAGAUUAAUAUAAAACAGCUGUAAGUGUGUUCACAGGCGCGAGAGAAUUGGCUGUCAGAAAGUGUUAGAAAAUACAAUGAAAGAGGAAGCCAUCUCCCCAGCCCCAGAACCCCACUUUUGAUGAGAAGAAAAAUAAAGUUGAAAAAAAAUCACAUCAAGAGAUGGAAAGUUCCCCAAAGGUGACACAGCUGAAGAUGGUUUUCAUGGACUGUCACCAGUGAAUGCUUUCCCCCCACAGAACAACUAUGGUUUCGUUGUGUAACAGAGCCCUGACUGCCCUGGACUCCUCGAUAGAGUAGGCUGGCCCCAAACUCCCAGAUUCCCUUGUCUUUGGCUCUCCACUGCUGGGAUUAAAG